AUGGCAGGAGGGGCGAACCUCCAUGGGACGGGUCGCCACCAAGGAGAUGGAGCUCCUUCUCCAUCCAAUUUGGCCAUCUCCAGCCGCCUCCUCCAGAUCCUCGCCGACCACGGGCCCCUCACCGUCGGCAACACCUGGAACCAUGCCAAGGUACCCUCCUCGACCGUCACCCAUCCUCGAGGAGCAGAAGGAGGGACGCAUCUAGCUGGCCAUCAAGGGCCUUCUCUGCUCCUCUUCUUCCUUGACCAUUGGUACCACCGCCGCCAUGCCUCCUCUCCUCUCCGGGCUCAGACCAAUCGCUCGACCCUUCAGUGUGAUGCAUUUUGA
rnacentral:rRNA from 1 species